CAGUCGCGUGCUGGAGGUUGCUAGGUUACCUGUAUGGCGAGCAGGCCUUCACCGGCUGAGGCCGCUUUUGCCUUUUCAUACACCUGCAGCCAGGGCAGGAGAAAGAUCGAAGUGGGUGCUCCUCAGUCAUCUUAAUCGAGACACAAAAUAACCUUCCUGCAAUACGAGGUAAGCGCGUGAAGAAGACAGUCUGGCGAUGCGGCACUGUCCUCGGCGAUUCAGGAGCUGGAAGGGCAGACCUUAAGCUCGCUGGAAACCGCUUCCUGUUGGAGCCUUGAUCAAGCAUCAUGUCUGAUGAAGAUAUUGUCACUACUUUAGCCUGUAUCAAGAGCCCAAUGUUCUCCAAAAGAACCACUUUUCAGGUAAAAUAAUUUUUACUUCUCUGUAUCCUGUUAUUAGAAAUUUGAGUUCUUCAAAGUAUUUGAAAGAGGUGCUUUCAUAAAACUCGUUAGCUUUACAGAAGUACUAUCAAUUCUAACCAACAUUCUCUUGAAGGCUCAUAUACUGUAACUGUCAAUGAUGGUCCCUCUGUCUGCACACAAACAAUGCAGGUACUUUAAUACCUAGAAGAGGGACACUUUAUUAAUGUUCACAGUUUGCAAAACACUUCUUUAAACUGAUCAGAAAUAUUAAUACAGUUAAUCCCCGAGUUACGAGUGUUCACUUAACGCUCCUUCAAAAUUACAUGAUGAACACCCCCUAGUGCUUACGAGCAAGUUCUGAAGUUACGAAUAUUGCAGCACCACGGCAGUUGUUUGCCCUUACGAGCGAUUUCCGUGGCACUGCAACUUUCACCCUAUUCUCCCCACUCCUCACAACUGCUUCCCCCUCCCUUCCUGCCACGCCGGAUUCACUUACCUUACAAAAAUUCUUUCUGCUGCUGUUUCUUUCCCUUUGAGGGAGAGCAGAAUUGGCUUGGAAAUGUUUUUCACACCGAGAAUGGAAGUUUCCGGAAUCUGUGAUCUCACGUGAGUGUUUGAAGUUGUGCUAAAUCACGGACUUCAGAAACUUUCAUUCUCUAUGUGAAAGGUGCCUAUCUCCUGCUCCUGCCCCCAAUUCCUUUCUGCCUGACAGCAAGACUGAAACCUUCAACUGAGGAAGAAGGCCAGCCCCCUCUCACCUGCGUCCAGCCCACGGGAGAUCGCCACGCUGGGGGAGAAAGUGACCCCAUUGUCCGUGCAGCCUUCCUCCAAGCGGACCAGAACAGAGGCUGGGGGAGGCUUCUGCAUGCCUCCAGAGAUUGAAUCCAGCCCUCGGAGGACUGCUCCAAGCUGCUGCCACCCAAAAUGAAACUUCCAAGGGCCUGAUCCAAGCCUUGGAGGGAUUUUCCUAGCUGUUUGUGCCAGGAAUGGAGAUUGGGGGGGGACUUCUUCAUGCCUCUAGAGGUUGGAUCCAGCCCUUGGAGGAUUGCUCCAAACUGCUGCUGCCCGGAAUGGAGCUUUCAAGGGCCUGAUCCAAGCCUUGGAGGCGGUUCCUAGCCCUUUGCACCAAGAACGGAGGUUGGGGGAGCUUUCCAGGUUGCUGCCACCCAGAUCUAGGGCUGGGGGAUGCUUCCACAGCCCAAUUGGACUGCAGGGGGCUGCGGAAGUGUUCCCUGGCCUUAAAUCUGGGUGGCAGAGGCCUGGAAAAGGUCUCAGGAACUCGGAUCGAGCCACGGGAGGGGGGCGCAGAAGCGUUCCCCUUCCUCAAAUCUGGGGGGCAGCAGGAACCGCAACAGAGAGGAGAUGGAUCUUUUCCAGGUGAGUCCCACAUGGCAGGAAGGGAGGGGGAAGCAUGUGGUAUCUUAGUGAGUUGGAGAGGCCUUGGGGGCCUGUUCUAGCACUAGGCCCUCCAUGGCCUUCCUCACCCUGAGAUAACUCAGGUUCGCUUAAUGAGCCGCGUGCGUUUUAACGAGCAAGGGAGUGAUCUCAUACCUCAAACGAGUUUCAUUCUACGAGUUUUCAAGUUAUUAGUGGAAUUGGCAGGCUCCAUUAUGCUCAUAACUUGAGGACUACCUGUUCUUUUUUUUGUCUUCUAAAUUUUGAAUAAAAUGUGCAUGUAUUUAAUAUUUCUGAAAGCUGGAAACACUGGACAAAGGAAUACAUGUAACUCUAAUUAAAAAACUGGAAUAGCAAAUAUAUGCCUAGUAAUGUAAAGAUCUUUUUUUGAAUAAGGACCUCAUUGUUUAAAUGAUGAGGAAAACUGUUUUAUAUUUACAUACAUAUAUUAUGUCUUGCUUUAUCAUUUUUGAUAAAGGGAUCUUACUGAUUUUGAAAUAUUUGAGAAAGAACUAAUUAAGUAUCUGAUAAUAAAACCAUUGUAAUCUUCAAAAAGAAAAUUACAUUUACAGUAGCUGUGCAAAAAGUGGGCCAACUGUUGAAAAAAACUAUUCAGGUUUUCCUUAGCAAUGGUACACUAGUCAGCACCUUGUAUUUUUUAAAAUACUAAUGGUUACAUAGAGUUUCAUCAUGCCUGAAAUAUGUAAGUGCCAAACUUCUCUGAAGUAUAUUUGGAUUGAUAAUUAUGAGUUAUCAAGACAUUGUUGACUCUCAGCAACCAUAUAGAUUUUCUCCAUGACAAUCUGUCUCUAGCUUAAUCUUUCAUCUUUCAAUGAAAUAGUGCACUCAUAUCCAGUGGUUCACUCAUCAUCAGCAUAACUGCGUCUAUUCAUCUUUCUGCCCUUCUUCCUUCUUCUCAUCCCUUGCACCUUUUCCAGCACUGGAGCCUUUUUCAGAGAGCUAGGUAUUUGCAUAAUGUGUUCAAAGUAGGAUAAUUUGAUUUUGGUUAUUUGUGCCCAAACUGAAAAUUCUUGACCUGUUCAGUGAUCCAUUAGUUUUUUUUUUCUUGGUUGUCCACAGUAUUCUCAACAGUAUCAUGUUCUUCCUAUCCUGCUUCCUCAAAGUCCAACUUCACUUCCAUAUAGUGUCACUGGGAAUACUAUGGCUUGCACAAUUCUCAUCUUUUUAAGGCCUUCGUGACUGCUUGCUGGUCUGCAUCAUAUUUUGACUGUUUAUCUCUUUACUGAUGAUGGUUGAUCAUUUUGAUCAUCAUGCCAUUUUGAUAUCUUCAUUAUCAAUUCUAAGGCUAGUGGUUGCAUUUUAUAAAAAUGUUAUUAUUUUGGUCAUCUUUAUAUUUAAUUUUAACCCCAUUUUUUUCCUGGGUUCCUUGACUUUUAUUACUAGAACUUGUAGCUCCUUGUGUUUUCAUCAGCAUAGCCCAAGUUAUUGCUGUUUCUUCCUCCAGUUUUGAAGCCAUGCUCCUUUUCAACCAAUACAGGUUUCCUUAACAAUAUUCACUAUUACGUUGAAUAAAUAAUGGAAGACUAUACAGCUUUGUCACACUCCUUUGUCAAUCUGGAGCACAAUUCUGUUCAUGCUGUACUUUUGUGACCAGUCUAUAAGUUUCUCAUGAGGACAAUUGGAUUUUCUGGGAUUCCCAUUUUUCUAAACGCAUUCUACAGCUUGACAUGAUCCGCACAACCAACGACCUUUCUGUAAUUAAUGGAGUAUAUACUGACUUCUUUUUGGUAUUCUUCAGCUUUCUCAGUUAUCUAUCUGGAUCAAAAUAAUGCUUUGUGUUUCUCAGGCUUUUCUAAAGUCAGCCUGAACAUCCAGCAUUUAUUUACUCUAUUUUCAUAAUUGAUAUUGAAUGCUUCUGAGCAUGAUUUAUGUUAUCAUAUGAGAUUCAGGAUACUGUGUUAUAGUUUGUAUGCUUUUGUUAACUCUCUUUUUUCUGGUAUUGGAAUAUAGAUUGAUAUCAGGCCUGCCAUCUUCAGAAUAUUUCACUUCACUGGCAUUCUGUCAUAAAUUGCAAGGGAGGGGGAAAAGCAAUUGGAGAAAUAAGGCAUGAGCAUGGGAAUGGGCAGUAAAAAUGGGGACAGGCUGAUAGGAACCAGAGGUGUUAAUGUGGAAUAAACCAGCUGGCCAAGGAUGGAGGAGCCUGAGAAUGGAAUGUAAAACUUUACCAAGGAGGCAGCAAACCUCAAAGCUGUUUCAAAAACAUCAAAAAUGAAUACUAUUGGACACUGAUGGACUGGUCAAGGGGAGAGGGCCAGGUAAAGGGGAAAAUUACAAGCUUUGCAUGGCAAUACUUAGAUCCAGCUUUACUUUUACGGUAACCAUUUGACUUUAGUAAAACAACCUUUCAUUUCAACAAAUGGAGCCUAGGGUUUUUCUUUCCUAAAUGUCCAAGCCAGGAAAAACUUGAUAUUUGGCCUUGUGAGAAAUUUUAUGCUAUAGUUCUAUGCAAGGUUUAGGCUUAGGUGAACCAAAUCAGGCCUCAUGGAAAAAUAUUGAACCAAAGUUUGAGCUAUCGCCUCUUUCAUAAUACGAUGGCAGCAUUUGUAAUUGGAAUUAUGAGUAAUCUUGCUAACUGGCACAUUACUAUGUGUUUAGAACACGAAACUUGAGCCUGGGAUUUGAGGAACUGAAAUGGUGGGAACCAAAGAACUGAAGAAGCCGUGGAACAGUGACAUGUGCAUGGAAAAAUAUGUUAGCUUGAAGGUGGUGUCUGAUAUAACUAUUAUUAAAAGAAUGUUAGAAGUCAUGUGUUUGUGAUUAAGGUAUAAAAGGAUGGCUCUGAGAAUAGAUUGGAGCAAUCAUGUCAAGCCGUCUCUCUGACUGCUUGCACAAUAUCUGCCCUUAUUGCAAUAAGUUAAGGUAUGUAACUUUGGUAUGUGUGUUCUAGAUUUUAAUAAACCUCCAAAUUCUAAAGCGAGAUGCUUAUGGUGUCUCUUGUCUCUGACGAGUUUUUCCCAUGACAGUUUUGGUGCAUUGGCUGGGAAAGGGCACGUUGGAAGAGACUUGGUGUCCGGUUGGAGCCUCUGACCAUCUCCAGGCUUGGACCCUAGGUAACCAGCUGCUUCUUUGCCAAUUUCCACCCACACCUCCACUUUGAAUCAGAGGUAAGAGAAACCCUGGGACCCUGGUAUCUUUAUCCUCACAUUCGGCUGCACUUCUUAAUAUGCUUUGAGGAUAAAGGAAGUUGUGUAAGUCUUGUCGUACUAUGGUGGGGCAACGAUUGUCAGAAAACAGAAGUGGCACUGGAAUCUGCCCAGCCGGGACCAAAAAGGGAACUGACAUUCCUGGGGACUGCUCACCCCCUUGUAGAGUAUUAAGGUCAUGCCUCAGGUGUCAAGGGUCAUGCCCUUGAAUUGUUUUUUGUAACCUAUUUUUUGAGGGACUUUGCUCCCUUGCUAGGCGACGCUAAGCAGAAAAAAGUGAGGGUCAUGUCAUUUUCACAAGCUUUUCUGGCUGCUGGUGAUUUACAGAUUGAGCUCUGAGAUUGCCAUUUUGAUGUUUGUACUUUGGGAUUUUAUUCAAGCUACUUGAAGUGAAGGUAUGUUCCUUUUACUUUCACUCCUAGUUUACGUGGCUUUUGGAAUGCAAUUUGCUUUUUGUGUACUGUCUGAUAUUGUGCAUUGGAUUUUCCUUGUAUGUAUGAAUGCCCCUUUGACCUGGAUAGUUAGUGCUGGCAACGUAUUAGUAUCUUGAACCUGUUAUUGAUUUUUUCCUGUAUUAAAUUUGUUUGCUUCCUGAUUUCCCUAUGUCUUUGUGUGUAGCGACACCCACUGUUACUUAAUGUUUUUUUUAAUUGUGCAUGGACAUUUUUCAAUGCAUUCUUUAACUGUGUUUCUUUAGUUGUGCCUGCCCUUUAAUUAAUGGUGAACACUGCCUUUCUCAUAGAUAAGAGUCAGUUUUUUUGCUGGGACAGUGUUGUUUGUUAACAACUAACAUUGGUGCUACCUUCCCCUUAGAUAAGGGUCAGCUUAUUUGCUGGGGUAUUGCAUUCUAUAGUUGAUUACCUGCUACCUUUCCCCUGGGGUAUGUUACUUCUCUGUUAUUGCUGUCAAUUCUACUGACAAAGAGGGAAUGGGCCUUUUCCAUAGAUAGGGACUGUCUUGUUGGCGGGUCUCCAUAUUCCUUUAUUUCCCUGGGUUAGUGUGUCUCUUGGUUGCCCAUGGGAGACUCAAGAUGCUGAGCUCUUCAGCUGAGUUUCUUCUUAUUUGGGGACCCUAAAUGGGCCAGAAGCCGCCCCAGAGAGGUGGUACUGAAGGAAGGUACUUCCAGGGACCUAGAAGAGACGGUGGUCUCUCCGAUUGGUCCAGGAGAAGCCUCCCAGAAACCAACAGAAGAAAGGCUAGCUAACUCCUAGUCUAGCCCUAGCUGUAAGCAAAUGGAAGUCAAGAAGCUCUACCUAAACUGAUCGUAAACAGUGUGUUUGAAGCUGAAUAAGAACUAAUUUUCUCUAUCCUACUUAUUUUCCUGGAAAAAAAAAAGAACUCCCAAGAAGCAAAUCUCCGAGAGUGAAAAAAGGGGAGGGAUUCUCUCCCCCCCCUUUGGCUUUUGGAAGCAGCAAAUUUAACUCUUUAAGGAGAAAAAGAAAACUGAAAAAUGACCCAACACUGACACCUGGUGGACGAGGAGCUAAAAAACUUUUUAUUUGUGGCUUUUAAAAUCUUAAAGUACAGCUGUUCAGAGAAAGUGAUAUUUACAGAAAAAAUGGAUGUUUUACAAGAGGAAAUAUAUGAUAUGCUGCAAUCCAUUCAAAGGACAAUGAUCUUAAACUAUGAAAAAAUACAAAACAAUUUAUGUAUAAGUCAACAUAUCUCUAAUUUCAGCUCACUUCAAAAAAAUCCUCAGGAGAACACAGCAGAGAUAAUGGAAUAUAAAUCAGAGGGAAAAGGCUUAAAGAUGGACUUUUACAAAAUUAAGUAUGACUUAAUUCAAGUGGAAGGAAAGACAAUUUAUACUUCAACAUCACAAAACAAAUUGGAAGACAAGAGAAGGGAUUCUAAUGGAAAAAAGAGUGCAAGUGCGCAGGACAGAGAUAUUGAUCUACAUUUACAGGAACACCUAUGAUCAUAUGGGAAAACUUUUGGAUCCAGCAAAGUAUAGUGAUCAAGAAAGAUUCGGGGCAAAGAAAAGAGAUUAAAAAAAAAGAGAUUGGGAUAUAUCAGAGAGAAUAUUUUAAAAAGAAACAUCUGUUUGAAUGUGAUUAAAGAAAUUGAAAAAUUUGAAACCCACCAUUUCAAGAGAGAUGAAAUGUUUUAGAUGCUUAAAUGUGAUUGAAUUCAAGAAAAGUACAUAUAUAUAUAUAAGUGAAUUAGAGUUAAGGGACUAGACUAGAUUUAUUGAAUAGAAUGUCUAAAGAUUAACUAUAUUCUUAACUAUGAUUAAAAAGAAUAAGAAAUUUUAAGAAAAUAAAUACAAUUAAUCUAGGAGGGAUAUAUAUUCUAAAUACUAUACUAUUUCUUAUGUUUUGUUAUUAUUGCUUUCCUCUCUUUUUCAUUUUCUUUUUUUU